rnacentral:rRNA from 1 species
CAGGUCACUCCUACGGGAGGCAGCAGUAGGGAAUAUUGCACAAUGGGCGAAAGCCUGAUGCAGCAACGCCGCGUGUGCGAUGAAGGCCUUAGGGUUGUAAAGCUCUUUCGGCGGGGACGAUGGUGACGGUACCCGGAGAAGAAGCUGCGGCUAACUACGUGCCAGCAGCCGCGGUAAUACGUAGGCAGCAAGCGUUGUCCGGAUUUACUGGGCGUAAAGAGCGCGUAGGCGGAAGCGCCAGUCCGGCCUGAAAGCCCCCGGCUCAACCGGGGAAGGUGGCUGGAAACUGUGCUUCUUGAGGGCGAUAGAGGAGAGCGGAAUUCCUGGUGUAGCGGUGAAAUGCGUAGAUAUCAGGAGGAACACCUGUGGUGUAGACGGCUCUCUGGACAGUAACUGACGCUGAGACACGAAAGCGUGGGGAGCAAACCGGAUUAGAUACCCGGGUAGUCCACGCCGUAAACGAUGAGUACUAGGUGUAGGGGGUAUCGACCCCCUCUGUGCCGAAGCUAACGCGAUAAGUACUCCGCCUGGGGACUACGGCCGCAAGGCUAAAACUCAAAGGAAUUGACG